rnacentral:rRNA from 1 species
UACACUCCUGCGGGAGGCAGCAGUAGGGAAUCUUCGGCAAUGGGGGCAACCCUGACCGAGCAACGCCGCGUGAGUGAAGAAGGUUUUCGGAUCGUAAAGCUCUGUUGUAAGUCAAGAACGAGUGUGAGAGUGGAAAGUUCACACUGUGACGGUAGCUUACCAGAAAGGGACGGCUAACUACGUGCCAGCAGCCGCGGUAAUACGUAGGUCCCGAGCGUUGUCCGGAUUUAUUGGGCGUAAAGCGAGCGCAGGCGGUUUGAUAAGUCUGAAGUUAAAGGCUGUGGCUCAACCAUAGUUCGCUUUGGAAACUGUCAAACUUGAGUGCAGAAGGGGAGAGUGGAAUUCCAUGUGUAGCGGUGAAAUGCGUAGAUAUAUGGAGGAACACCGGUGGCGAAAGCGGCUCUCUGGUCUGUAACUGACGCUGAGGCUCGAAAGCGUGGGGAGCGAACAGGAUUAGAAACCCCUGUAGUUCCAUGAU